rnacentral:rRNA from 1 species
CAGUCGCCGCGGUAAUACGUAGGGUGCGAGCGUUGUCCGGAAUUAUUGGGCGUAAAGCGCGCGCAGGCGGCCUAUCCAGUCUGUCUUAAAAGUUCGGGGCUCAACCCCGUGAUGGGAUGGAAACUAGUAGGCUAGAGUAUCGGAGAGGAAAGCGGAAUUCCUAGUGUAGCGGUGAAAUGCGUAGAUAUUAGGAAGAACACCAGUGGCGAAGGCGGCUUUCUGGACGAAAACUGACGCUGAGGCGCGAAAGCUAGGGGAGCGAACGGGAUUAGAUACCCCAGUAGUCCCUGUCUCUUAUACA